UCCCUUGUGGCUCAGCUGUAAAGAUUCUGCCUGCAAAGCAGGAGACCUGGGUUCGAUCCCUGGGUGGGAA
rnacentral:tRNA from 1 species